rnacentral:rRNA from 1 species
GACGAACGCUGGCGGCGUGCUUAACACAUGCAGGUCGAACGGAAAGGCCCUGCUUUUGUGGGGUGCUCGAGUGGCGUACGGGUGAGUAACACGUGAGUAACCUGCCCUUGACUUUGGGAUAACUUCAGGAAACUGGGGCUAAUACCGGAUAGGAGCUCCUGCUGCAUGGUGGGGGUUGGAAAGUUUCGGCGGUUGGGGAUGGACUCGCGGCUUAUCAGCUUGUUGGUGGGGUAGUGGCUUACCAAGGCUUUGACGGGUAGCCGGCCUGAGAGGGUGACCGGCCACAUUGGGACUGAGAUACGGCCCAGACUCCUACGGGAGGCAGCAGUGGGGAAUAUUGCACAAUGGGCGGAAGCCUGAUGCAGCAACGCCGCGUGCGGGAUGACGGCCUUCGGGUUGUAAACCGCUUUCGCCUGUGACGAAGCGUGAGUGACGGUAAUGGGUAAAGAAGCACCGGCUAACUACGUG